CCCUCCGUAACUCAAUUGGUAGAGUAGCUGCCUUUUAAGCAGAAAGUUGCAGGUUCGAGUCCUGCCGGAGGGA
rnacentral:tRNA from 1 species